AAACCAGCACCUCAAGUGGUCAGGAUGAUUAUUGGGCCUAAAGCAUCCGUAGCCGGCUCUGUAGGUUUUCGGUUAAAUCUGUACGCUUAACGUACAGGCUGCCGGGAAUACUGCAGAGCUAGGGAGUGGGAGAGGUAGACGGUACUCGGGAGGAAGUGGUAAAAUGCUUUGAUCUCUCGGUGACCACCUGUGGCGAAGGCGGUCUACCAGAACACGUCCGACGGUGAGGGAUGAAAGCUGGGGGAGCAAACCGGAUUAGAAACCCCGGUAGUCC
rnacentral:rRNA from 1 species